UGUGGUCAAAUGAUGAUUAACAAGCAUAGUUCAGCUGAUAAUCCCCGUGAUUAUAAAAACAGCACUGUCUUUCGCUCCUAUCUGAUGACCCAU
rnacentral:snoRNA from 1 species